UACGAAGGGGGCUAGCGUUGCUCGGAAUCACUGGGCGUAAAGCGCACGUAGGCGGAUUUCUAAGUCGGUGGUGAAAUCCUGUAGCUCAACUCCAGAACUGCCUUCGAUACUGGAAGUCUUGAGUCCGGGAGAGGUGAGUGGAACUGCGAGUGUAGAGGUGAAAUUCGUAGAUAUUCGCAAGAACACCAGUGGCGAAGGCGGCUCACUGGCCCGGUACUGACGCUGAGGUGCGAAAGCGUGGGGAGCAAACAGG
rnacentral:rRNA from 1 species